UCACCGGGGCCUUUUCGACGAG
rnacentral:miRNA from 1 species